rnacentral:rRNA from 1 species
AACGAACGCUGGCGGCAUGCCUAACACAUGCAAGUCGAACGAGACCUUCGGGUCUAGUGGCGCGCGGGUGCGUAACGCGUGGGAAUCUGCCCUUCGGUUGGGAAUAACUGAGAGAAAUUUCAGCUAAUACCUUAUAAUGUCUUCGGACCAAAGAUUUAUCGCCGAGGGAUGAGCCCGCGUAGGAUUAGGUAGUUGGUGGGGUAAUGGCCUACCAAGCCGACGAUCCUUAGCUGGUCUGAGAGGAUGAUCAGCCACACUGGGACUGAGACACGGCCCAGACUCCUACGGGAGGCAGCAGUGGGGAAUAUUGGACAAUGGGCGAAAGCCUGAUCCAGCAAUGCCGCGUGAGUGAUGAAGGCCUUAGGGUUGUAAAGCUCUUUUACCCGGGAUGAUAAUGACAGUACCGGGAGAAUAAGCUCCGGCUAACUCCGUG